CCUACGGGAGGCUGCAGUAGGGAAUUUUGCGCAAUGGGCGAAAGCCUGACGCAGCAACGCCGCGUGAGUGAAGAAGUAUUUCGGUAUGUAAAGCUCUAUCAGCAGGGAAGAAAUAGCGACCUUUGGGUCGCCAGACGGUACCUGAUUAAGAAGCCCCGGCUAACUACGUGCCAGCAGCCGCGGUAAUACGUAGGGGGCAAGCGUUAUCCGGAUUUACUGGGUGUAAAGGGAGCGUAGACGGCAGCGCAAGUCUGAAGUGAAAUGCCGGGGCUUAACCCCGGAACUGCUUUGGAAACUGUGCAGCUAGAGUGCAGGAGAGGUAAGUGGAAUUCCUAGUGUAGCGGUGAAAUGCGUAGAUAUUAGGAGGAACACCAGUGGCGAAGGCGGCUUACUGGACUGUAACUGACGUUGAGGCUCGAAAGCGUGGGGAGCAAACAGGAUUAGAUACCCGUGUAGUC
rnacentral:rRNA from 1 species